AGCUCCGCCGCUCCUGGUAUUGCGGGUCCUGUGUGACAAUGGGUCUACCGGCUGGUGGGAUUCGUGUGUCGCAGGCCUCGCUGGGCCGAGUUCGUGACGUCACAAAACAUGAAGGUAGCUGAAUGCAGGGCAGAACUAACAUUUGCUCAAGAUUGGGUCCCAAAAAAGAGCAGUUACUUAGCUGUGUUCCUAUGCAUGAAAGCACAUUCUCUAGAGUUCAAUUUAUUUAGC